rnacentral:rRNA from 1 species
UUUAACUGAAGAGUUUGAUCAUGGCUCAGAUUGAACGCUGGCGGCAGGCUUAACACAUGCAAGUCGAGCGGGGGAAGGUAGCUUGCUACCGGACCUAGCGGCGGACGGGUGAGUAAUGCUUAGGAAUCUGCCUAUUAGUGGGGGACAACAUCUCGAAAGGGAUGCUAAUACCGCAUMCGUC